GCAUUUGGUAUAUAUGCAAAUUGCGAUGUARGAUUGUCCUUGUGGUAACACUUGCACGUGUUUGUAUUAUUUAAUUGCCAAGAUAUCGUCGGCCGUGCACUUCUCUCCUAGUAGGACGUCGCGACCCGUUGGGUGUCGGUCUACGGCCCAGAUGGUAGUCUUUGAUGUCACCGCAAGGUGUAAUGUUGAAGACCACUGGUGUUUCCUGACCGAGUGCCCGGCGGUAUUCGCACGGUAUUAAGCCGCAUUUAUGCGUCAAACUCGCCACAAGCGCGGUCAAUGUUCUGGUAGUUUGCGGACUUAGUGCCGUCGCUAGGCUUGACCAGCUGUUGGUUGUGCGAUGUUCUUUGACUGGCUUGUGUAUGUAAAAUUACCGGUCGGCGACGCUACUGCUUUGGGUACUUUCAGGACCCGUCUUGAAACACGGACCAAGGAGUCUAACAUGUACGCAAGUCAUUGGGAUUUAUUUUUUAUAAUGAAAACCUAAAGGCGUAAUGAAAGUAAAAAUUGUCUUUACGACAAUUGAGGAAGGAUGAGUUACGUUACGAUGUAUCUCCGCACUCNNGGGGCGUCUCG
rnacentral:rRNA from 1 species